rnacentral:rRNA from 1 species
UGGGGAAUUUUCCGCAAUGGGCGCAAGCCUGACGGAGCAAUACCGCGUGAGGGAGGAAGGCUUUUGGGUUGUAAACCUCUUUUCUCAAGGAAGAACUCAAUGACGGUACUUGAGGAAUCAGCAUCGGCUAACUCCGUGCCAGCAGCCGCGGUAAUACGGAGGGAGCUAGCGUUGUUCGGAAUCACUGGGCGUAAAGCGCGCGUAGGCGGCCAUUCAAGUCAGAGGUGAAAGCCCGGGGCUCAACCCCGGAAUUGCCUUUGAGACUGGAUGGCUAGAAUCUUGGAGAGGUGAGUGGAAUUCCGAGUGUAGAGGUGAAAUUCGUAGAUAUUCGGAAGAACACCAGUGGCGAAGGCGACUCACUGGACAAGUAUUGACGCUGAGGUGCGAAAGCGUGGGGAGCAAACAGGAUUAGAUACCCCCGUAGUCC